rnacentral:tRNA from 1 species
GGGGGCGUAGCUCAGUUGGUAGAGCGUUCGCUUUGCAUGUGAAAGGUCCCCGGGUUCAAGCCCCGGCGCCUCCA